rnacentral:lncRNA from 1 species
UAUCGUUCAACCAUGGACUCUUGUCCCCAACAUCGUUAAAUCAAUUGUAAGUAUAAACACAGGUGUUGGAUAAAGACAAUUUUUUAUCGUAAUGUCUCCGUGUCAUGCAAAACCAAAGCAAAAGAUUAAGACACCGGAGACGAUAUAAAAACGCACGAGAGAAUUCAACGCAUGUGCUCCAACAGGAACAGGUGACGGUCCAAGAAGAACAAGUUGCGGUCGGACAGAUAUAGGCGGAUAAUAAGAAUAAUCAGUGUUGUGGUGUCUCUUCAACAAGGAUUCGUCUUCACUCCUUUCCUAAACAUCCAUCAAUGGUGUUAUCUUCAAGAACUCAUUAUUGUCUUCAUCCAGAAGGUUUUAGCAUCAUUCAACUCUCUACAAGGACUUUUCAACAAACUUUUUUUAUCCAAGGGCUUAUCUUCCUGUUGUGGACGACAUCGCCUAUUUUUUGUUAUUAUAAAAACAAAGGUAUUUCCUCUUUGAAUUGUUGGGAUAUGUAUGUAACGCUCUCU